rnacentral:tRNA from 1 species
GGGCAGUUAGCUCAGUUGGUAGAGCAUCGCUUUCACAUGGCGGGGGCCACAGGUUCAAGUCCUGUACUGCCCA